rnacentral:rRNA from 1 species
AUUGAACGCUGGCGGAAUGCUUUACACAUGCAAGUCGAACGGCAGCACGGGUGCUUGCACCUGGUGGCGAGUGGCGAACGGGUGAGUAAUGUAUCGGAACGUAUCCAAUAAUGGGGGAUAACGAGUCGAAAGAUUCGCUAAUACCGCAUACGCCCUAAGGGGGAAAGCGGGGGAUCGUAAGACCUCGCGUUAAUGGAGUGGCCGAUAUCUGAUUAGCUAGUUGGUAGGGUAAAAGCCUACCAAGGCUACGAUCAGUAGCUGGUCUGAGAGGAUGACCAGCCACACUGGAACUGAGACACGGUCCAGACUCCUACGGGAGGCAGCAGUGGGGAAUUUUCCGCAAUGGGCGCAAGCCUGACGGGGCAACGCCGCGUGAGGGAUGAAGGCCUCUGGGCUGUAAACCUCUUUUAUCAAGGAAGAAGAACUGACGGUACUUGAUGAAUAAGCCACGGCUAAUUCCGUGCCAGCAGCCGCGGUAAUACGGGAGUGGCAAGCGUUAUCCGGAAUUAUUGGGCGUAAAGCGUCCGCAGGCGGUUUAACAAGUCUGUCGUUAAAGCGUGGAGCUCAACUCCAUUUCAGCGAUGGAAACUGUAAGACUCGAGUGUGGUAGGGGCAGAGGGAAUUCCCGGUGUAGCGGUGAAAUGCGUAGAUAUCGGGAAGAACACCAGUGGCGAAGGCGCUCUGCUGGGCCAUAACUGACGCUCAUGGACGAAAGCUAGGGGAGCGAAAGGGAUUAGAUACCCCUGUAGUCCUAGCCGUAAACGAUGAACACUAGGUGUCGGGGGAAUCGACCCCCUCGGUGUCGUAGCCAACGCGUUAAGUGUUCCGCCUGGGGAGUACGCACGCAAGUGUGAAACUCAAAGGAAUUGACGGGGGCCCGCACAAGCGGUGGAGUAUGUGGUUUAAUUCGAUGCAACGCGAAGAACCUUACCAGGGCUUGACAUCCUGCGAAUCCCUUGGAAACGAGGGAGUGCCUUCGGGAGCGCAGAGACAGGUGGUGCAUGGCUGUCGUCAGCUCGUGUCGUGAGAUGUUGGGUUAAGUCCCGCAACGAGCGCAACCC